rnacentral:rRNA from 1 species
UACGGGGGGGGCGAGCGUUGUCCGAAGUUACUGGGCGUAAAGAGCGUGUAGGCGGUCUGGUAGGUCCGUUGUGAAAACUCGAGGCUCAACCUCGAGACGCCGAUGGAAACCAUCAGACUAGAGUCCGGAAGAGGAGAGUGGAAUUCCUGGUGUAGCGGUGAAAUGCGCAGAUAUCAGGAAGAACACCCGUGGCUAAGGCGGCUCUCUAGUACGGUACUGACGCUGAGACGCGAAAGCGUGGGGAGCGAACAGG